rnacentral:rRNA from 1 species
GAUGAACGCUGGCGGCGUGCCUAAUACAUGCAAGUCGAGCGAACAGACGAGGAGCUUGCUCCUUCGACGUUAGCGGCGGACGGGUGAGUAACACGUAGGUAACCUACCUUUAAGACUGGGAUAACUUCGGGAAACCGGAGCUAAUACCGGAUAAUAUUUCGAACCGCAUGGUUCGAUAGUGAAAGAUGGCUUUGCUAUCACUUAUAGAUGGACCUGCGCCGUAUUAGCUAGUUGGUAAGGUAACGGCUUACCAAGGCAACGAUACGUAGCCGACCUGAGAGGGUGAUCGGCCACACUGGAACUGAGACACGGUCCAGACUCCUACGGGAGGCAGCAGUAGGGAAUCUUCCGCAAUGGGCGAAAGCCUGACGGAGCAACGCCGCGUGAGUGAUGAAGGUCUUCGGAUCGUAAAACUCUGUUAUUAGGGAAGAACAAACGUGUAAGUAACUGUGCACGUCUUGACGGUACCUAAUCAGAAAGCCACGGCUAACUACGUG